AUAUGUGAUUUUUCAUAGUUCAUCUAAUUAUUUCUUCAGGAAUGUGAAGAAGAAAAUGAUUGUAAUGGGUACAGCAUUACAGUGCAUGUAAUGGAGCAUCCUCGGAACAUCCCCUGGAGCCCAGCUGUGUGCCUCUGCCCUGCAAAAAGACUCUUACAUCUUCAGCACAGCUAUUUUGCAAGAUGAGGCUGGUGUUACAUUGCAACUGUGUGCAUGUAUGGGGGGGGGGGGGGGGGUGAACUGGGAUGCCUGGGGAUAUUACCAUCACUCACCAAGGACACACUCUGCCUCUGAGGGAUCUGGAAGGCUGGUGGGUUUCCAUGGGCUAACAUGCACAGAGGAUGCUGGGUAAAAGGUAUUAAUAUCUUACAAAAUAAAGAUGAAUAAAGAAUUUGGACUACUGCAAACUGGGAUGAAUUUGCUGCAAGAUGGAAAUGUCAUAAGGAAAAAGAAAACUGGCAAGCUUGUUUGAAACCCAAAGGAAUACAAGAUGUGUGGGUAUUAGAAUAGAGUGAUCAGGAUUCAGAGUCUUCAAAUAAUGGAGCCAGAAGCAUUGUUUCCUCAGGACAGCGCAUUUCACCACAUAUCUCCAAAGUACUCUGAAGCUUGUUUUCUUUCAGGAACAAAAAGCCAGACAGUACUGUUGCAUCCAUUGGCCUGAUCCCUCUUGAAAUGCAUCCAUACAGGUGUUUUCUAAAACUGAUGGAUUGUCUCAAAG